AUCGAUGAAGAACGCAGCGAAUUGCGAUAUGUAAUGUGAAUUGCAGAAUUCAGUGAAUCAUCGAAUCUUUGAACGCACAUUGCACCCUCUGGUAUUCCGGAGGGUAUGCCUGUUUGAGUGUCAUUAAUCUCUCAACUCAAUCAAGUUUAUUCUUGUAUUGAGCUUGGAUCUUGAAGUUUGCUGGUGUUAUAAUCAGCUCCUUUAAAAUAUAUUAGUGGAACUAUGAAGGACCAGCCUCGGUUUGAUAAUCCUAUCUAUGCUGUCGCUGAGAAUCGUUUGAUCUGCUUAUAAUUGUCCUUUGGACUGUCUCUUAUGAGGCAUAUUUGACUCUUGACCUCAAAUCAGGUAGGACUACCCGCUGAACUUAAGCAUAUCAAUAAGCGGAGGAAAAGAAACUAACAAGGAUUCCCCUAGUAACUGCGAGUGAAGAGGGAAAAGCUCAAAUUUAAAAUCUGGCAGCCUUUGGUUGUCCGAGUUGUAAAUUAGAGAAGCGCUACCCGCGUUGGCCUGUGCAAAAGUCUCUUGGAAAAGAGCAUCAUAGAGGGUGACAAUCCCGUCUUUGGCACAGACUACCAGGGCAUUGUGGUACGCUCUCAAUGAGUCGAGUUGUUUGGGAAUGCAGCUCUAAAUGGGUGGUAAAUUCCAUCUAAAGCUAAAUAUUGGCGAGAAACCGAUAGCGAACAAGUACCGUGAGGGAAAGAUGAAAAGAACUUUGAAAAGAGAGUUAAACAGUACGUGAAAUUGUUGAAAGGGAAACGCUUGGAGUCAGUCGUGUCUUGUGGAAAUCAACCUGACCCUGGUUGGGUGUACUUUCUGCUGGACAGGUCAGCAUCAAUUUUGAUCGUUGGAUAAAGACUUGAGGAAUGUGGCAACUUGUUUGUGUUAUAGCCUCUUGUUCAGAUACAAUGGUUGGGAUUGAGGAACUCAGUGUGACUUCGGUUUGGCCCUCGGGUACAUCCCACACUUAGGAUGCUGGCAUAAUGGCUUUAAUCGACCCGUCUUGAAACACGG
rnacentral:rRNA from 1 species